AGACGACGAUCACGGGGACGCUGUGCAUGUUCAGCCUUCUAGGUCAUCUCUGCAAUGGUGUGUUUCCUGGAUGAUCUCCAGGAGCGGCCGGCGCAAAGGCCAGUGCGUCCAGUGUGCAGCGUCAGGUGAUCGACCAGGGUGGUAGCCAAGGCCGAGCAGGUGGUGGGUGCGAGCCUCGUGAAGACCCGGACAGGCCCCAGGAAGUGAUUCAUCGUUGCCUUUGUGGCUGGGGCAGUGCAGAAGAGGCAGACGACCAGUGGGGGAGGCUCUACAUCGGACGUCCAAGGGGGCCGGAUGGCAGGAGACAAGGGGGCCACCCACGCUGAUCCUCCUGAUCGCAACGUCCUCUCGGCGCGUUAAGGCCCCGGGGAAGUCCGUUCCGUGCGUGGUAUGGGUGUACGCGUAGAGAACCGGAGUGAUUUUUUGUGCAGGAGCUAGCUGUUUUUUGGGGACAUACGAUGUAGAGGCGGCGAAUUUUGGACUUCCGCUGUAUGGCAGGCGGCAUCUGCGUCCAGUCAGGCAGGUGCAGACCAACGGGUCCACUGUACCGGUACAGGGAAAGUGCACGAGUCAAUAUAGUGGUCCAUGUCUGAGGCUACAGACUUGGUCAAAAAACGCCGGACCAGAACGCGCAGAAGGAAACGCAGUGAAAGUAUCAGGCACGCUCAUGGAAGGCCUCAUCUAGAUCCAAUCAAGCGUGGGUUUCAAUUUAAGGUGCAUUGAUAAAUACGUGGGUUAUAGUCCA